rnacentral:rRNA from 1 species
GACGAACGCUGGCGGCGUGCUUAACACAUGCAAGUCGAACGGAAAGGCCCUGCUUGUGUGGGGUGCUCGAGUGGCGAACGGGUGAGUAACACGUGAGUAACCUGCCCUUGACUUUGGGAUAACUUCAGGAAACUGGGGCUAAUACCGGAUAGGAGCUCCUGCUGCAUGGUGGGGGUUGGAAAGUUUCGGCGGUUGGGGAUGGACUCGCGGCUUAUCAGCUUGUUGGUGGGGUAGUGGCUUACCAAGGCUUUGACGGGUAGCCGGCCUGAGAGGGUGACCGGCCACAUUGGGACUGAGAUACGGCCCAGACUCAUACGGGAGGCAGGAGUGGGGAAUAUUGCACAAUGGGCGGCAGCCUGAUGCAGCAACGCCGCGUGCGGGAUGACGGCCUUCGGGUUGUAAACCGCUUUCGCCUGUGACGAAGCGUGAGUGACGGUAAUGGGUAAAGAAGCACCGGCUAACUACGU